AAGAUAUGGCCAAUGUUUUCUUUAAAGCUGUUUUUUUCUUUAUGAUAUUGGUGUUUAGUACUUGCGGUUAUUAUCUUCCUUUUCCUUGAUGCUAUUUUUUAUUUUGUUUAUAUUUUUUUAUAUGUUUCAAUACUAAAAAAAAAUGCGCAAUAAUUAUAUUUUCUUGUGUGUUAUUACAGUGUGUGGAGUUGAAGUUGAUAAAUCGGCUAAAAUGGUUGAUGUUGGAAAAGAAAUUAUUGGCGGAACUUCAACUCCAAAUAACGCAUGCACAACAUGUAUGUGGACGGAUGAUUGUGAUAAGUGUUGUCCUAUUGACAAAAAUCCAUAUUGUGGUCUCAAAAAGUGUAUGUGCUUGGACGAUAAAUUAGUAGGUUAGAUAAAAAAAAUUAAAAAAAAAAAAAAAGUAUAAUAGUAUUUCCUUUACGAAAUGGUGAUGUAAAAAUAUUAUGCACUCUCUUUGAUAAGAAAGUUUUUAUGCAGCCUUUAAUCUUUAGUAACCUUAAAUUUAUGAUAAAUGAUG
rnacentral:lncRNA from 1 species